rnacentral:siRNA from 1 species
CUUGAUUAUGUUGUUAUAUACGAU